rnacentral:rRNA from 1 species
AUGCAUGUUGAUACUAUAAUGGAAUCUCGUGAUGCAACAUUUUUUGAGAACAUAUUUCCUAUGAAAGAUAUGCAUAGCAUUGCUAGAUUUUCUUCUGAGAUAAUUCCUGAAUCUAGUACAACUGAUGAAUAUUUCGAACAAUCACAUGAGGAAGUCCUUGAGAAGGAGAACAAUGAAGUUCCUAGAAGGAACAAGAGACAAAGGAUUGCAAAAUCCUUUGGUGAUGAUUUCAUUGUACACCUUGUGGACGACACACCCAAGACGAUUGCAGAAGCAUAUGCAUCUCCGGAUGUAGAUGAUUGGAAAGAAGUUGUUCAUAAUGAGAUGGACUCAAUUCUUUCUAAUGGAACUUGGGAACUAACUGAUAGACCAUAUGGUUGUAAACCUGUGGGCUGUAAGUGGGUGUUCAAAAAGAAGCUAAAGCCUGAUGGUACUAUUGAUAAGUACAAGGCGCGGCUAGUGGCCAAGGGCUACACUCAGAAAGAAGGCGAAGAUUACUUUGACACCUAUUCACCCGUUGCUAGAAUGACCACCAUUCGAGUGUUACUUUCCUUGGCUGCCUCUUAUGGUCUUAUCAUUCAUCAAAUGGAUGUAAAGACAGCUUUUCUCAAUGGAGAGUUGGAAGAGGAGAUCUAUAUGGAUCAGCCUGACGGGUUUGUGGUAAAGGGUGAAGAGAGAAAGGAGGCUGAUAGGUGUGUUUACUAUCUCCAUGGUGGGGGCAAUAGUGUCAUAUUAUGUUUGUAUGUGGACGACAUACUGAUCUUUGGUACAAACAUUAAUGCAAUUAAUGAGUCUCACUAUGUUGAGAAGGUCUUGAACCGAUUCGGUUUUAUGGAUAGCAAGCCUUCUCCAACACCUUAUGAUCCCAGCGUGACACUCAGAAAGAACAAGAAAGAAACGAGAGAUCAAUUAAGAUACUCUCAAAUUGUCGGUUCACUCAUGUACUUAGCUAGCGCUACAAGACCAGAUAUCUCUUUUGCUGUGAGCAAACUGAGUAGGUUCAUGUCCAACCCGGGUGAUGAUCAUUGGCAUGCACUAGAAAGGGUCUUGCGCUAUCUGAGAGGUACUAUGAGUUACGGAAUUACUUAUUCAGGGCAUCCUGCUGUGCUAGAAGGAUAUAGUGAUUCAAAUUGGAUCUCCGAUGUUGAUGUACUUUACACAACAAGUGGGUAUGUAUUUACUCAUGGUGGUGGCGCAGUGUCAUGGAGGUCUUGCAAGCAAACCAUAUUGACGAGGUCAACUAUGGAAGCAGAAUUAACUGCUUUGGACACAGCUACUGUUGAGGCAGAAUGGCUACGUGAGCUCUUGAUGGACUUGCCGGUUGUUGAAAAACCUGUACCGGCUAUUCUUAUGAAUUGUGAUAACCAAACGGUUAUCGCUAAAGUGAACAAUUCUAAAGAUAAUGCAAAGUCAUCAAGACACGUGAAAAGACGUUUGAAGUCUGUCAGGAAGUUGAGAACUCCGGAGUAA